rnacentral:rRNA from 1 species
CCCGGGGGGUGCUAUACAUGCAAGUCGAACGCGUUGGCCCAAUUGAUUGAUGGUGCUUGCACCUGAUUGAUUUUGGUCGCCAACGAGUGGCGGACGGGUGAGUAACACGUAGGUAACCUGCCCAGAAGCGGGGGACAACAUUUGGAAACAGAUGCUAAUACCGCAUAACAGCGUUGUUCGCAUGAACAACGCUUAAAAGAUGGCUUCUCGCUAUCACUUCUGGAUGGACCUGCGGUGCAUUAGCUUGUUGGUGGGGUAACGGCCUACCAAGGCGAUGAUGCAUAGCCGAGUUGAGAGACUGAUCGGCCACAAUGGGACUGAGACACGGCCCAUACUCCUACGGGAGGCAGCAGUAGGGAAUCUUCCACAAUGGGCGCAAGCCUGAUGGAGCAACACCGCGUGAGUGAAGAAGGGUUUCGGCUCGUAAAGCUCUGUUGUUAAAGAAGAACACGUAUGAGAGUAACUGUUCAUACGUUGACGGUAUUUAACCAGAAAGUCACGGCUAACUACGUGCCAGCAGCCGCGGUAAUACGUAGGUGGCAAGCGUUAUCCGGAUUUAUUGGGCGUAAAGAGAGUGCAGGCGGUUUUCUAAGUCUGAUGUGAAAGCCUUCGGCUUAACCGGAGAAGUGCAUCGGAAACUGGAUAACUUGAGUGCAGAAGAGGGUAGUGGAACUCCAUGUGUAGCGGUGGAAUGCGUAGAUAUAUGGAAGAACACCAGUGGCGAAGGCGGCUACCUGGUCUGCAACUGACGCUGAGACUCGAAAGCAUGGGUAGCGAACAGGAUUAGAUACCCUGGUAGUCCAUGCCGUAAACGAUGAGUGCUAGGUGUUGGAGGGUUUCCGCCCUUCAGUGCCGGAGCUAACGCAUUAAGCACUCCGCCUGGGGAGUACGACCGCAAGGUUGAAACUCAAAGGAAUUGACGGGGGCCCGCACAAGCGGUGGAGCAUGUGGUUUAAUUCGAAGCUACGCGAAGAACCUUACCAGGUCUUGACAUCUUGCGCCAACCCUAGAGAUAGGGCGUUUCCUUCGGGAACGCAAUGACAGGUGGUGCAUGGUCGUCGUCAGCUCGUGUCGUGAGAUGUUGGGUUAAGUCCCGCAACGAGCGCAACCCUUGUUACUAGUUGCCAGCAUUAAGUUGGGCACUCUAGUGAGACUGCCGGUGACAAACCGGAGGAAGGUGGGGACGACGUCAGAUCAUCAUGCCCCUUAUGACCUGGGCUACACACGUGCUACAAUGGACGGUACAACGAGUCGCGAACUCGCGAGGGCAAGCAAAUCUCUUAAAACCGUUCUCAGUUCGGACUGCAGGCUGCAACUCGCCUGCACGAAGUCGGAAUCGCUAGUAAUCGCGGAUCAGCAUGCCGCGGUGAAUACGUUCCCGGGCCUUGUACACACCGCCCGUCACACCAUGAGAGUUUGUAACACCCAAAGUCGGUGGGGUAACCUUUUAGGAGCCAGCCGCCUAAGUGACCAGAAU